rnacentral:misc_RNA from 2 species
AGCAGCCGCGGUAAUUCCAGCUCCAAUAGCGUAUAUUAAAGUUGCUGCAGUUAAAAAGCUCGUAGUUGAAUUUCGGGACUAAUAUGUUGGUCGUGCCUCGGUACGUACUGAUAUUUUUGGUUUCUCCCUUCUGACGAACCUUGAUGUCAUUAAUUUGGUGUCUUGGGAAAUCAGGACUGUUACUUUGAAAAAAUUAGAGUGUUUAAAGCAGGCUCACGCUUGAAUACAUUAGCAUGGAAUAAUGAAAUAGGACGUUUGAUUCUAUUUUGUUGGUUUCUAGGAUCGACGUAAUGGUUAAUAGGGAUAGUUGGGGGCAUUAGUAUUCAAUUGUCAGAGGUGAAAUUCUUGGAUUUAUUGAAGACUAACUACUGCGAAAGCAUUUGCCAAGGAUGUUUUCAUUAAUCAAGAACGAAAGUUAGGGGAUCGAAGACGAUCAGAUACCGUCGUAGUCUUAACCAUAAACUAUGCCGACUAGGGAUCGGAUGAUGUUAAUUUUUUAAUGACUCAUUCGGCGCCUUAC